GUGACGGAUGUGGGUUUCGUUGAGAAUUUGUCUUUCCUGUCUCUACCUGCGCUCUGGGCUGUGGGAGCCACAGCUUGAUUUAUUGAGCUAAACAAGUCAGCAGCUAAUUUGUUCAUUGGUGGCUGUCCUUGGAGAAGUGGUCCUGUGGAUAAAGAUGAAGAUCAUUGAAAAACAAGUCAGCUUCCACGGGCAGGACCUGGCAAAGUAGACACGUCACAUCUGUCAUCAUUGGUGAAUAUCUCUCCCCCAUUAAACUGUAAACUCCAUGAGAAGCUCUGCUUUGCUCACUACUGGAUCCCUAAGAACCUUUCACAGUACUUUCCUUUGGAGACCCCCAAUAAAAUGUUUCCUCCUGCAUGCUUCCUGCUGGGGAUGGAGCCUGCAACCCGGCAUGUGCCCUGACCGGGAAUUGAACUGAGACCUCCUGGCGCAUGGCAUGAUGCUCAACUAACUGAGCUACACCUGCCAGGCUCAGUCAUCCUUGAUAGGACACAGGAAUAACUCAACAAAAAUUGUUUGGACCCAUCAUUAGUGUUUAUUUAUGGUGAUGAAAUUCUGUCUAGUUUUCAGAGCUAUGGGGGCCCGGAGGAUGGUGGGUCCGCGCGUGUGGGCAUUAGAACAGCUUGCUGCUGGAAUUUGUUUCAUCUGGUGGUUCCACACCAUCUGCAGGAUCAACUGCUUAUUGUUCCUUGUUUGCGAUCAUUCGUGUCAUCCAAUGAAACAAGAACGCACGAGCCUUCUGCAACAUUCAUUUUAAAAGCGAAAUAUUUUUGUUGCUGCAUCAAAAUUCUCCGGCAGAACCGAAGUCCUACGGGAUUGGAGAGUGCCUGGCGUGUUCAUGGCCAUAUCUAAAUGCGAUGGACGGGUUUUUUAACCAACACUAUUGGCAGAUAUUUAAUUGUUGCCAUAAAUGAUACUAUGAUGAACAUUUGGGCAUGUAUUUCUGUCUUUGCAAACCCGAGGGUUCCUGUGUCAUAGAUUCCCAGGAAUGAUUAAAA